CCUACGGGAGGCAGCAGUAGGGAAUCUUUCACAAUGGGCGAAAGCCUGAUGGAGCAACGCCGCGUGCAGGAUGAAGGCCUUCGGGUUGUAAACUGCUUUUAUAAGCGAGAAAUAUGAUGGUAACUUAUGAAUAAGGAUCGGGUAACUACGUGCCAGCAGCCGCGGUCAUACGUAGGAUCCGAGCAUUAUCCGGAGUGACUGGGUGUAACGAGUUGCGUAGGUGGCAGAGCAAGUCCGAAGUGAAAACCCAAAGCUCAACUAUGGGAAUGCUUUAGAAACUGCUCAGCUAGAGUGCAGGAGAGGCAAGUGGAAUGCUUGGGGUAGCGGUGAAAUGCGUAGAUAUUAGGAGGAACACCAGUGGCGAAGGCGGCUUGCUGGACUGUAACUGACACUGAGGCUCGAAAGCGUGGGGAGCAAACAGGAUUAGAUACCCCAGUAGUC
rnacentral:rRNA from 1 species